GAAAUGCGAUAAGUAAUGCGAAUUGCAGAAUUCAGUGAGUCAUCGAAUCUUUGAACGCACAUUGCGCCCUGUGGUAUUCCGCAGGGCAUGCCUGUUCGAGCGUCAUUUCAACCCUCAAGCUCUGCUUGGUGUUGGGCCAUGCCCUUGCGGCCGGCCCUAAAGCCAGUGGCGGUGCCGUCCGGCUCUAAGCGUAGUACACCUCUCGCUCUAGGGCCCCGCGGUUGCCUGCUAGAACCCAAACUCUUAUGGUUGACCUCGGAUCAGGUAGGGAUACCCGCUGAACUUAA
rnacentral:misc_RNA from 1 species